GUAAAUCUUCACCAAAUAAACUGAUUAACUUAUCAUAGUAAUAGAAGACAACAAAACGCAUAUGAUUAAUUCAUGUAUUUGGGUUUCUUAAAGCUUAUUUUAUUUUAAAAUUACUAUGCUGUAGUAAUUAAUAUGCUCUUAAUUUACAAGCAAUUUAUUAACCUGUGCUUUUUUAAAUAUCUUACUAGUAAAUAAGUAUUGAAAAGAGC